CAGUCGCCGCGGUAACACGUAGGGUGCGAGCGUUAAGCGGAAUUACUGGGCGUAAAGCGUGCGCAGGCGGUUAUAUAAGACAGAUGUGAAAUCCCCGGGCUCAACCCGGGACCUGCAUUUGUGACUGUAUAGCUAGAGUACGGUAGAGGGGGAUGGAAUUCCGCGUGUAGCAGUGAAAUGCGUAGAUAUGCGGAGGAACACCGAUGGCGAAGGCAAUCCCCUGGACCUGUACUGACGCUCAUGCACGAAAGCGUGGGGAGCAAACAGGAUUAGAUACCCGCGUAGUCCCUGUCUCUUAUAC
rnacentral:rRNA from 1 species